UCGGGAAUUUUGGGCAAUGGGCGAAAGCCUGACCCAGCAACGCCGCGUGAAGGAUGAAGUAUUUCGGUAUGUAAACUUCGAAAGAAUAGGAAGAAUCAAUGACGGUACUAUUUAUAAGGUCCGGCUAACUACGUGCCAGCAGCCGCGGUAAUACGUAGGGACCAAGCGUUGUUCGGAUUUACUGGGCGUAAAGGGCGCGUAGGCGGCGCGGUAAGUCACUUGUGAAAUCUCUGAGCUUAACUCAGAACAGUCAGAUGAUACUGCUUUGCUAGAGUGCAGAAGGGGCAAUCGGAAUUCUUGGUGUAGCGGUGAAAUGCGUAGAUAUCAAGAGGAACACCUGAGGUGAAGACGGGUUGCUGGGCUGACACUGACGCUGAGGCGCGAAAGCCAGGGGAGCAAACGGGAUUAGAUACCCUAGUAGUCCCUGAGCGGGCUGGCAAGGCGCAU
rnacentral:rRNA from 1 species